rnacentral:rRNA from 1 species
GAUGAACGCUAGCGGGAGGCCUAACACAUGCAAGCCGAGCGGUAUUGUUUCGUCUGCACUGGGAGAGCGGCGUACGGGGGCGUGUCACGUGUGCAACCUUCCCUUAUCUGGGGGAUAGCCUUUCGAAAGGAAGCGCAAUUCUCCCUAAUAUAUUGAACGGCAUCGUUUAAUAUUUUAAGCUCCGGCGGUUAGAGAUGGGCACGCGCAAGAUUAGCUAGUUGGUGAGGUAACGGCUCACCAAGGCGAUGAUCUUUAGGUGGCCUGAGAGGGUGAUCCACCAGACUUGUACUGAGGUACGGACCAGACUGGGACGGGACGCAGCAGUGAGGAAGACUGGGGGAUGGGUGCUAGCCUGAACCAGCCGCCCCGCGGGAAGGACGAUUGCGCUAUGGGUUGUAAACUUGUUGGGUAUAAGGAUAAAAAGACACUCGUGAGGGUAGCUGAAGGUACUAUAAGAAUAAGCACCGGCUAACUCCGUG